rnacentral:rRNA from 1 species
UACGUAGGGUGCGAGCGUUAAUCGGAAUUACUGGGCGUAAAGCGUGCGCAGACGGUUCGUUGUGUCUGAUGUGAAAGCCCCGGGCUCAACCUGGGAAUGGCAUUGGAAACUGGCGAGCUGGAGUGUGGCAGAGGGGGGUGGAAUUCCGCGUGUAGCAGUGAAAUGCGUAGAGAUGCGGAGGAACACCGAUGGCGAAGGCAGCCCCCUGGGCCAACACUGACGCUCAGGCACGAAAGCGUGGGGAGCAAACAGG